rnacentral:rRNA from 1 species
GAUGAACGCUAGCUACAGGCUUAACACAUGCAAGUCGAGGGGAAACGACAUCGAAAGCUUGCUUUUGAUGGGCGUCGACCGGCGCACGGGUGAGUAACGCGUAUCCAACCUGCCCACCACUUGGGGAUAACCUUGCGAAAGUAAGACUAAUACCCAAUGAUAUCUCUAGAAGACAUCUGAAAGAGAUUAAAGAUUUAUCGGUGAUGGAUGGGGAUGCGUCUGAUUAGCUUGUUGGCGGGGUAACGGCCCACCAAGGCUACGAUAAGUAGGGGUUCUGAGUGAAAGGUCCCCUGCAUUGGAACGGAGACACGGUUGAAUCUCCUACGGGAGGCAGCAGUGAGUAAUAUUGGUCAAUGGGCGAGAGCCUGAGCCAGCCAAGUAGCGUGCAGGAUGACGGCCCUAUGGGUUUUAAACUGCUUUUAUAAGGGAAUAAAGUGAGCCUCGUGAGGCUUUUUGCAUGUACCUUAUGAAUAAGGACCGGCUAAUUCCGUGCCAGCAGCCGCCGUAA